rnacentral:rRNA from 1 species
AGUGAACGCUGGCGGUAGGCCUAACACAUGCAAGUCGAACGGCAGCACAGUAAGAGCUUGCUCUUACGGGUGGCGAGUGGCGGACGGGUGAGGAAUACAUCGGAAUCUACUUUUUCGUGGGGGAUAACGUAGGGAAACUUACGCUAAUACCGCAUACGACCUACGGGUGAAAGCAGGGGAUCUUCGGACCUUGCGCGAUUGAAUGAGCCGAUGUCGGAUUAGCUAGUUGGCGGGGUAAAGGCCCACCAAGGCGACGAUCCGUAGCUGGUCUGAGAGGAUGAUCGGCCACACUGGAACUGAGACACGGUCCAGACUCCUACGGGAGGCAGCAGUGGGGAAUAUUGGACAAUGGGCGCAAGCCUGAUCCAGCCAUACCGGGUGGGUGAAGAAGGCCUUCGGGUUGUAAAGCCCUUUUGUUGGGAAAGAAAAGCAGCAGGUUAAAACCCCGCUGUUCUGACGGUACCAAAAGAAUAGCACCGGCUAACUUCGUG